rfam:Archaeon GW2011_AR18 QT09_C0012, whole genome shotgun sequence.
AUUCCCAUUGAUCCUGUGGGAGAUUGCUGCUAUUGGAAUCCGAAUUAGCCAUGCAAGUUCAGGGGGCUCGCAAGAGUCACCGGCAUAAGGCUCAGUAACACGUCGAUAAUUUGCCCUUAGGUCUGGAAUAACCUCGGGAAACUGAGGCUAACACCGGAUAUGAGAUUGAUACUGGAAUGUUCUUUCUCAGAAAGGUAACGCCUAAGGAUAAGUCGGCGGCUGAUUAGGUUGUUGGUGAGGUAACGGCCCACCAAGCCUAGGAUCAGUAGGGGGGAUGAGAGUCCUAGCCCCGAGAAGGGCACUGAGAUACUGGCCCUAGCCCUAAGGGGUGCAGCAGGCGCGGAAACAGACGGGUGCCAGCCGCCGCGGUAACACCUGCGCCACAAGUGGCAAUCGUAAUUAUUGGGUCUAAAGCGUUCGUAGCCGGUUUAGAAAGUCUCUUGUGAAAUUGUUGAGCUUAACUUAACAGCGUGCAAGGGAAACUUCUAAACUAGAGACUGGGAGGAGACAGAAGUAUUCCAGGGGGAGCGGUAAAAUGUUAUAAUCCUUGGAAGACUACCAGUGGCGAAGGCGUCUGUCUAGAACAGGUCUGACGGUGAGGAACGAAGGCUAGGGGAGCAAAACGGAUUAGAUACCCGAGUAGUCCUAGCAGUAAACACUGUAAGCUAUGUGUUGCAUAUUCUUUGUGAAUAUGCAGUGCCUAAGUGAAGACGUUAAGCUUACCACCUGGGAAGUACGGUCGCAAGACUGAAACUUAAAGGAAUUGGCGGGGGCUCACUACAAGGGGUGAAGAGUGCGGUUCAAUUGGAUUCCACGCCGGAAAUCUCACCAGGGGCGACGGCAGAAUGAAGGUCAGAUUGAAGGUUUUACCUGACAAGCCGAGAGGUGGUGCAUGGCCGACGCCAGCUCGUGCCGUGAGGUGUCACGUUAAGUCGUGCAACGAGCAAGACCCAUAUCCACUUUUACCAGCAGGUCCUACGGGAUGACUGGGUACAAUAUGGAGACUGCCUUCGUAAGGAGGAGGAAGGUGUGGGCAACGUUAGGUCCGUAUGCCCCGAAUCUCCUGGGCUACACGCGCUCUGCAAUGGUGGAGACAAUAGGAUGCAACUCCGAAAGGAGAAGCCAACCCAAGAAACUCCAUCUUAGUCUGAAUUGAGGAUUGUAACUCAUCCUCAUGAAACCGGAAUCCCUAGUAAUCGGACUUCAUUACGGUCCGGUGAAUACUGUCCCUGAGCCUUGCACACACUGCCCGUCAAACCAACCGAGCAGGGUUUAGAUGAGGUGCAGUCUUGUUGAUUGCAUCAAAUCUAAGUUCAGUAAGGUGGGUUAAGUCGUCACAAGGUAACCGUAGGGGAACCUGCGGUUGGAUCACCUCCU